UACCAGCACCCCGAGUGGUCGGGACGAUUAUUGGGCCUAAAGCAUCCGUAGCCGGUUUUACAAGUCCUCCGUUAAAUCCAGCUGCUUAACAGAUGGGCUGCGGAGGAUACUAUAAGACUAGGAGGCAGGAGAGGCAAGCGGUACUCAGUGGGUAGGGGUAAAAAUCCGUUGAUCCAUUGAAGACCACCAGUGGCGAAGGCGGCUUGCCAGAACGCGCUCGACGGUGAGGGAUGAAAGCUGGGGGGAGCAAACCGG
rnacentral:rRNA from 1 species